GCGGAGGUUGUUUAGCUCGGUAAAACGCUGGCCUGCUAAGUCAGUGCAGACAACUGCGCGUGGGUUCAAAUCCCACUCUCCGCGCCA
rnacentral:tRNA from 1 species